AGAAUCAACGCUGGCGGCGUGCCUCAGACAUGCAAGUCGAACGAUUAAAGCUCUCUUCGGAGAGUGUAUAGAGUGGCGCACGGGUGAGUAACACGUAAGUAAUCUACCUUCGAGUGGGGAAUAACGUUCGGAAACGAACGCUAAUACCGCAUAAUGCAGCGGCAUCGCAAGAUGACAGUUGUUAAAGGAAUUUAUUUCGCUUGAAGAGGAGCUUGCGGCAGAUUAGCUUGUUGGUAAGGUAACGGCUUACCAAGGCUACGAUCUGUAUCCGGUCUAAGAGGACGGUCGGACACACUGACACUGAAUAACGGGUCAGACUCCUACGGGAGGCAGCAGUCGGGAAUUUUGGGCAAUGGGCGAAAGCCUGACCCAGCAACGCCGCGUGAAGGAUGAAGUAUUUCGGUAUGUAAACUUCGAAAAGAAUGGGAAGAAAUAAAUAGAACGGUACCAAUUUAUAAAGCUACCGGCUAACUACGUGCCAGCAGCCG
rnacentral:rRNA from 1 species